rnacentral:rRNA from 1 species
UACGUAGGGUCCGAGCGUUGUCCGGAAUUAUUGGGCGUAAAGGGCUCGUAGGCGGUCUGUCGCGUCGGGAGUGAAAACUUACAGCUUAACUGUGAGCGUGCUUCCGAUACGGGCAGACUUGAGGUAUUCAGGGGAGAACGGAAUUCCUGGUGUAGCGGUGAAAUGCGCAGAGUAUCAAGAGGAACACCUGCGGCGAAGGCGGGUUGCUGGGCCGACACUGACGCUGAGGCGCGAAAGCUAGGGGAGCGAACGGG